UACGAAGGGGGCUAGCGUUGUUCGGAUUUACUGGGCGUAAAGCGCACGUAGGCGGAUUGUUAAGUCAGGGGUGAAAUCCCAGAGCUCAACUCUGGAACUGCCUUCGAUACUGGAAGUCUUGAGUCCGGGAGAGGUGAGUGGAACUCCGAGUGUAGAGGUGAAAUUCGUAGAUAUUCGGAAGAACACCAGUGGCGAAGGCGGCUCACUGGCCCGGUACUGACGCUGAGAUACGAAAGCGUGGGGAGCAAACAGG
rnacentral:rRNA from 1 species